UUUAUGGAGAGUUUGAUCCUGGCUCAGGAUGAACGCUGGCGGCGUGCCUAAUACAUGCAAGUCGAGCGAACGGACGAGAAGCUUGCUUCUCUGAUGUUAGCGGCGGACGGGUGAGUAACACGUGGAUAACCUACCUAUAAGACUGGGAUAACUUCGGGAAACCGGAGCUAAUACCGGAUGAUAUUUUGAACCGCAUGGUUCAAAAGUGAAAGACGGUCUUGCUGUCACUUAUAGAUGGAUCCGCGCUGCAUUAGCUAGUUGGUAAGGUAACGGCUUACCAAGGCAACGAUGCAUAGCCGACCUGAGAGGGUGAUCGGCCACA
rnacentral:rRNA from 1 species